UUACCAAAAAUUCAUUUUUUCCAACAAAUAAUUCUUGGAGGGGGGCUGCGUAAGCAUCACAUUUGCAAUGCUGAUAUGAUGCGAAACGGGGCAGAUUAUGCUGCUUACAUUAACACCGCUCAAGAGUUUGAUGGUAGCGAUUCUGGUGCCCACCCUGACAAAGCCAUAUUGUGGGGAAAAAUACGAAGUUCGGCAAAGACUGUCAAGGUACACUGUGAUGCAAUUAUUGCUUUUCCCCUCGUGGUUGCAGAAACAUCAAAGAAAUUUGUCACACAAGUUUGUUCGAAAUAGUACAAGUAAAACAUGUUUAUUGUAUCCGUAACAAAUGUGUUUGAAAUAAGUGGCUUUAGUUCACAAGUUCAUGUGAAAUUGUAUUUUUUUUUCCUUCGUUCAAUAAAAUGGGUUGCCGGGGAUAACCAACUGUAGCAAUCCUCUAAGCUCCCUCUAUUUGCUGAGGAGCCAGGCACGAAGAGCCAGACAAAAAGAGCCCAGACGGGCAUGGCAAAAUCGUGUCUAAUGUAGUCAAGUUCACUUGCAUAAUAAAUCUUGACAAGCCCAUUUCAAAUUGUAUUAGCAACUCUGAAAUUUACUUCUUGUGCUUAUUGGAAACCUCCACAAGUUUUUGAGGUGGUUGCAAAUGGAUUGUACCAAUAAUAUGUGCUUAUUUGAAUUUGAUUACAUUCAUCAUUCACAUAUGAUCAGGAGUCACGAUAGCUUCUCACUUGAAUUUGCAACACAAAUUAUAUAAAGAUUUCACUUGAAUUAACUACAAAUUAGUCUUCAUAGCUCUUGCCAUUACAUGA